ensembl:lncRNA
CUCUUUAGGAAAGACAGACUGGCAAGGAGAGAUGGUGGAGUUGCUCUUUAUGUGAGAGAGCAACUAGUAACUGCUGAGAUCCACCUUGGAGUGAAUGAUGAACAACUGGAGAGCUUGUGGGUGAGAAUUAAGGGGCAGGCUAAUACAAGUGACACUGUUGUGGGUGUGUACUACAGGCCGUCUGAUUGGGAGGAGGAAGUUGAUGAGGCUUUCUACAAACAGCUGGAAAUAGCCUUGCAAUCCCCGGCACUGAUUCUCAUGGGGGACUUUAAUCAUCCUACUACUUACUGGAUAAGCAACGUGGCCAGGCACACAUGGUCCAGGUGGUUCCUGCAAUGUGUUGAAGAUAAAUUUCUGAUGCAGCUGGUGGAGGAGCUGACAAGGAGGUUCUUGCUACUUGAUCUUGUUCUUAUCAACAAGGAAGGUCUGGUUGGGGAUGUGAAGGUUGCAAACAGCUUGGGAUGCUGUGAUCAUGAGAUGGUGGAGUUCAUGAUCUCGUUUGGAAGAAGCAAAGCAAUUAGCAGGAUUGACAUUCUGGACUUCAGGAGAGCCAACUUUGUCCUCUUCAAAGACCUGCUUGGAGGAAUCCCAUGGGCUAGAGCCUUAGAAGUUGCAGAAAAGAAAAAGAAAGACACAAGCUGACUGCAGAUGUUGAUUUGCAUGUUAAAGAAUACAAAUCUGGAGAAAAUUGCAAAAACUGCAUCACAGAGAGCAGACUCGGUACAGCUAGAUCUGUACUUUUGUGAUAAAACUGAUCCAAAAGGAAGAAAUAAAAGUAAUCCAUCAGAGGUGUGCUGUGGGUCUCAACCUUGCCUCUGAAUGGGAGCUCCUGGGGAGUGCCCAUGCACACCUGACCUCGACUUUGCUGACUGCUGUAAGAAGAUACAUAACCACAGGAUUUAUCUUUUGUCCUCUGUGGGCCCCACAGAGAGUAGUUCUUCUGAACCUGGAAAGAAGAUGUCUCCCUUUCAUAGAAACAUUCAGAGAACUCAAAUGUGUGCUCUAAAUAUUUGGCCCAUCUUUAUUUUUGCAAUGGAUCUGCCUGGCCUCUGCAGUAACUGAAAGGAAGAAGCUAACAUACUUGUCUUCAGUUUCCUCACCUUGAAGGGCAGAGUGUGUGUUUAUCUUUGCUUUAUAUCCUUCUGUGUCAUCUGCAUAAAUUACACAUCCUGUACCCAUACUGCAUUGUGCGGAAAAUAGAAUUCAUUAUUUCCAGUCCUCCCUGCAAAUGUUAGUGAUGCUUCUUCAUGCUGAAAACUUUCCAGCAAGAGGCAAAGGACCAUUAAAUAUUUCAAAAUUCUGUCUCUCAGUUCCCUGUUACUCCUAACACUCUGAAAUAA